rnacentral:rRNA from 1 species
GACGAACGCUGGCGGCGUGCUUAACACAUGCAAGUCGAGCGGUAAGGCCCUUUCGGGGGUACACGAGCGGCGAACGGGUGAGUAACACGUGGGUGACCUGCCCUCAGCUCUGGGAUAAGCCUGGGAAACCGGGUCUAAUACUGGAUAUGACUCCAUGACGCAUGUUGUGGGGUGGAAAGCCUUGUGCGGCUGAGGAUGGGCCCGCGGCCUAUCUGCUUGUUGGUGGGGUGANGGCCUACCAAGGCGACGACGGGUAGCCGGCCUGAGAGGGCGACCGGCCACACUGGGACUGAGACACGGCCCAGACUCCUACGGGAGGCAGCAGUGGGGAAUCUUGCGCAAUGGGCGAAAGCCUGACGCAGCGACGCCGCGUGAGGGAUGACGGCCUGGUGU